rnacentral:rRNA from 1 species
GUAGGUGGCAAGCGUUGUCCGGGAAUUAUUGGGGCGUAAAGCGCGCGCAGGCGGUUCUUUAAGUCUGAUGUGAAAGCCCACGGGCUCAACCGUGGAGGGUCAUUGGAAACUGGAGAACUUGAGUACAGAAGAGGAAAGCGGAAUUCCACGUGUAGCGGUGAAAUGCGUAGAGAUGUAGAGGAACACCAGUGGCGAAGGCGGCUUUCUGGUCUGUAACUGACGCUGAGGCGCGAAAGCGUGGGGAGCAAACAGGAUUAGAUACCCUGGUAGUCCACGCCGUAAACGAUGAGUGCUAAGUGUUAGGGGGUUUCCGCCCCUUAGUGCUGCAGCUAACGCAUUAAGCACUCCGCCUGGGGAGUACGGCCGCAAAGGCUGA